CUACGGGAGGCAGCAGUGGGGAAUAUUGCACAAUGGGCGGAAGCCUGAUGCAGCGACGCCGCGUGAGGGAUGACGGCCUUCGGGUUGUAAACCUCUUUCAGCCCCGACGAAGCGCAAGUGACGGUAGGGGCAGAAGAAGCGCCGGCCAACUACGUGCCAGCAGCCGCGGUAAGACGUAGGGCGCAAGCGUUGUCCGGAUUUAUUGGGCGUAAAGAGCUCGUAGGCGGCUUGUUGCGUCGACUGUGAAAACCCACGGCUCAACCGUGUGGUCUGCAGUCGAUACGGGCAGGCUAGAGUUCGGUAGGGGAGACUGGAAUUCCUGGUGUAGCGGUGAAAUGCGCAGAUAUCAGGAGGAACACCGGUGGCGAAGGCGGGUCUCUGGGCCGAUACUGACGCUGAGGAGCGAAAGCGUGGGGAGCGAACAGGAUUAGAUACCCUUGUAG
rnacentral:rRNA from 1 species